AAGACCUCGAACUACACCAGGGCUACUAUAAAGACACUGGCAGAGGGCAAACAGGAGUGGCGAUGCCUCGUUGCUUCCCUACAUGCCACUGGGCGUAAUGGUCAGUGGUCCUGUGGACUUCAACUGUUGUGUCUACCUGAACAAACAGCACUGCACAAUGAAGAGAGGCCAACACAGGGACAUGUGCGCCUCCUCUGCAUGUCCUCCAGGAUCUUCGACGGAAGAAAUAUGCUUUGCAAAUCAGAGGAAUGCUGCUCGGUGGCACAGGGUGACCUGUGGUCUUCUUUCAUACAUCAUAAAAGCCUGCAAGGUGUCUUCCCCAGUCAGAUUGGGCUUUUCAUCAUCUUUCGUAGUUUCUGCGGUGCCUUUGUCGUUUUCCUCGGCCCUCUUGUUCCCAAAGGGACCUUUCUUUUAAAAUAGCACAGUAGAGCCAAAGGGGGUUUGAAUUGUGUGCUUGUUUCAUUGUCGACUAUUUCAGUGCUUUUAAUUCACAGCAGAAAUUGGUAAUGUUGUCGUUUUGUUGUGACAUUCUAUUUAAUUUGCAUAUUCAUUUGCUGAUAUUGGAGUGAAUCUUGUAUCUGUGGUUAAUUUACUGUAAGAUAACAUAAACUGGAAUCAAACUUUUUUUAUUCCUGUGUAUUAUGGAACUGAUUACAUCAGGAGUUUCUUGCACCUUAAAAACCCUGUCUCCUAGAAAUAAUCUGAAGAAAAUGUUAUUGAAACCCAAAACCUUGUGCAGUAGUGUGGUAUACAUUAAAAUAACUAAAUAAGUAAAUAGCAUAGAAAACUGCAAAGCAUAAUCAUCCAAAUAGAAUGAUUUUCAUGCUGAGGUGCUGUAACCAAGCUCCCAGGUGCUGGGCUGUGAAUCGAUUUUGGUGUAGAGGCCGUGGGGCAUUGCAACUUUAGUGUUCAUCACGUGACAUACACUAGGCCAAAAAGCCUUUUUCCUUUCAAAGUUAAUGGAAAGUAAACAAGCUAACAAGGAUGCCCCCAAAAAAGUAGCUCAUUACAGUUUUCUUCAUUCACAAAUUGUGACAAAUUCUCAUCUGUCUCCCGACCAGCACACACAGACACUGUAUAGCCAUUCCUCUCUCUACUGGCUAUCAUCAUGAAAUUGAAUUAGACUAUUUUUGUGCUAUUACAGUGAGAAAAAAAGAAAUAGAAUUGUAGGAACAAUCAACUGGACAUUAUAUUUAAAAAUUAAAAUUUAUAAGUACAAUCAAAAAAAGGUUGGUCAUUUGGUGGAGUUUACCCCAGGGUAGCAGUUAAGCUGAGCAUAAGGACACGGCAGGAUGAACGCCACGGGGGUAAAACGUUACACAACUUAAACUUUUGUGUGUGUGUGUGUGUCUGACUCUGUCUUUUCUCGAGGGCCUUCCAGUGUGCAGGGGCAGACAAUCUGUCUCUCCAUUCUGCCUCUGCUGAGAAUCACAUCCUAAUAACAUAUCUCACGGUGAAAAUGUCUCCUAUUUUGGGAAAUGAUAACAAUUCAACAACAACGGUUUGCCCUCCUGUAUGCCUCCAUCAUAGUUGUUGGUACUUUUCCCAUGCUGAUUUCCUCAGUCCAUCUUUUGAAUUCUCUUUCAUCUGGUGUGAAUUUACUUCUGCAUUCACUGAUGGAAUCAGUUUUCUCUCUGACUCUUGCUUUAUUGCUUUUUAGUUGCACCAUUGGAACAGGAUGUUGGCUUGUGUGGCAUUUGUAGUCUCUCGGGAGGAUGCUUCCUGUGAGAAAAUAGCUCUGGAGAAAAUAUAUGUCUACUUAACUCAGACUAAACAGACUGUAUAUGGAUGUAAUUGGAAAUAAAUUGAAGUGAGAUCAAUAAUUGGCCAUCAAAGAUUCAGGGGAAUGAAACUUUCCAAAUAUAUGAUCACUUCAUCAGUUUUGGAUAUGUUUGUGUUUGGGUACAAGGGUC